rnacentral:rRNA from 1 species
CGGUUUAGUAAGUUCCUGGUAAAACCGGGCAGCUUAACUGUCCGUAUGCUAGGAAUACUGCUAUGCUAGAGGGCGGGAGAGGUCUGAGGUACUACAGGGGUAGGGGUGAAAUCUUAUAAUCCUUGUAGGACCACCAGUGGCGAAAGCGUCAGACUGGAACGCGCCUGACGGUGAGGGACGAAAGCCAGGGGAGCGAACCGGAUUAGAUACCCGGGUAGUCCUGGCCGUAAACGAUGCAUACUAGGCAAUGGUGCGGCUAUGAGCCGCAUCAGUACCGUAGGGAAACCGUUAAGUGUGCCGCCUGGGAA